AAGGUAGACACAAAGAGUGGUGAAUCUGGGGAAUUCUCUGCCAUGGAAGGUAGUUGAGGCCAGUUAAUUGGCUAUAGUUAAGAGGGAGUUAGAUGUGGCCCUUGUGGCUGAAGGGAUCAGGGGGUAUGGAGAGAAGGCCGGUACAGGAUACUGAGUUGGAUGAUCAGCCAUGAUCAUAUUGAAUGGCGGUGCAGGCUCGAAGGGCCGAAUGGCUUACUCCUGCACCUAUUUUCUAUGUUUCUAAAAUGCUGGAGUAAGCCAGCUGGUCAGCCAGCAACUCUGGGAAAAAUGGAUAGGUAAUGUUUCAGAUCAGGGCCCUUCUUCAGGCUGAUUGUACACACAAACAUGUACAGACAAAGAAAAUGAAGCUGUGUCUUUCUAUUAAAUUCAAUUCAAUUCAAGAGAACGUUUGUGGCAGCACCUCUGGGAAGGGGAAGUGAAAGUGGCAAUUGAUGCAGGAGCCUGAAAACGGUAGGAAAGACCCUGUUCCAAAGUCUGCACAUCUGAGCUUUCUUCUCUCAAAAGGUAGAAUGAGAAUAGGGAAUGGCCAGGAUGACAACCUCUCUGAUGCAACACACUGUGAAGAUGGGCUAUGUUCACCACUCUCUGCAAGUUCAGACCAUCAAUAACACAACAGGCUGAGGUGCAUCCCAUCAGCAUGUCUGUAGAAGUUGGAGAAAAUCCUCCUGAACAUGCUGAAUCUUCUCAGGUACCUAAACAAAUACACUGAGCUUUCCUGAACACCACAUCAGUGUAAAGGGACCAGGUAAGGUUUCUAUUGAUAUGGAUGCCUAGGAAUGUAAACAUGGCCAAUCUCCAGUCCCAUCUUAUAGGGACCUUUUCAGAUACAUUAAGUCUUCCUAGUGUUUAACAAGGAACUGCAGAUGCUGGAAAAUCGAAAGUAGACAAAAAUGCUGGAGAAACUCAGUGGGUGAGGCAGCAUCUAUGGAGCGAAGGAAAUAGGCAACGUUUCAGGCCAAAACCCUUCUUCAGACUCGACAUCCUAGUACUUUAUCAAUUUUCAUAAUUUCCAACAUCCUACCCAACCUUUUACUGCUCUCCUCUUACCACAUGCCAUUAAAACAUUGUUGGAUUCCUCUUUACAUAACCCAUUUUUUUAUCCAUUCUCUCUCUUGGCUUAUUUUCCAUCCUAUGUUUCUAUAGUUAGCAUGGUUCUCAAUGGAGUUAAGUACAAUAUAGGCAUCAUAGGUUUCUUUCAUUACAUUUGCCAUCUCCUUAUUAUCUAAGCAACUCAGGGUUAACUUCCAUUUCUUACCUCCCCUGUGGAACAUUCCUUGCCUGACCAGUAACAGCCCCUCUUCCAAGGUCACUCGUUGUUUUUCCAUUUCAGUCUGAUUUUCCCUGAAAUAUUUUGGGAUAUUUUUUGCUCGUGCUAUAGUCUGUAUAUAAAUGGAAGUUGUUGAUUUCAAAACUCCAGAUAACUGGAUCUUCAUUCAACUUGUGGCCUCAUCUGUCUCUGAAGUGAGAGACCUGACAUUGCAGCCAAAGUGCCACUUUUGGCAUGAGACGAACAUUUUUCAAAUGUUACCUCACAAUUUAGUGCUCUGCACAACUGCAACUAAAGUACUUAUUUUGGUCAAAGCUACUUCUUAAUAAUUGAUUUUUAUUACCACUUUCGUCACUGUGGACUAAACCAUUGCAGCUGAAUCCAAUUAACACCGGAAAAACCAGGAUCAAAUCCCAUCUGGAGGAUGUCCCUUCUGCAGUAGGCAUCAAAGCUCAGGAAGUGCAUCCGGCCCUUGCAAGGUGAUAGGGUGCAGAUUCACUAGUAUUAUACUAGUCCUAAAAGGGUUAAAUUAGGAGGACAAUUAUGUGCAUGGAUAGGUGAUCAUAAAAGAUCAACUUGUGGUUUGGAUUGAGGUAUUAACAGCACAUCAGAGAAAAACUGUUUCUUAUACAGAUUUCUAUAUGUUGGGGUCAUAGCCUUAAUACUGGAACUCAAACUAAUGCAUUUUAAUUUAAUUUACGAAAAUGGCCUGUUUAAAACUCUUUUUUUUUUUAAAUUCUCUUUGCCUCAGCUGAUUUUAUAUCAUUGUUUUUUUUUCUUUGAGUGUUUUAUGAACUUUCUAGUUUUGGCAGAACACUCAGAUCACUUGGAAAAUGAAAGAUCUGGGCAGAUAGCUUGAAGGCUCUUUUAAUCUGCCUCCCAUUUACUCUGUGUAAAAAACUGGUUUAGAUUAUAACAGCUGUCAGCACGUGUCUUAUCUGUUUGAAAUUCAAAGUGUUUAUUCGUGACCAAGUGCGCUUUGCCUGUUGGGGGAGUGUAAGCUUUGAAUUCGAGACCUCUUGGUGCAUUCCAACUGUUGCGUGGAAGACAAUUACUGGCCCCUUUAAAACCUUGGAAGAUUAAUGGGAUUAAUUUAGUUUGGGAUUCAAGAGCUCCUGAGGGAAGAUUACAGUUGUCCAGAUUGCAUUGUGUAGCGUCAGGUCAGAAGGUGAUGAUGGCGGGGGAUUGGUAUGACAAACUCCAUUCCUCUUUUCACCCAGGCCACCUGCCUCAGGAUAUUUGCCAAAAAUUUGCACAUUCCGUGAAGGAUUAAAACAAAAUGAGUGUUAAAGGAGUUCAUCCAAGCUGGCUGUUGCUGACAUAAGAUCAUGACUGGACUAAACAACAAACCGUUUCCUGUUUUUAUCUUAGGUUUCCAAUUUUCUCUUUUUUUUUAAAGAAUCAUUACAAGAUACAAGAUACAUAAGCUGGGUGGAGAUUCAAUGCUGGCGGCCCUCGGCAAAAGGGCCCCAGGACUUCGCGAUAUUGAAGUCAGUGCCUCCCGCGCUGGAAGCUCCAUGAACCACAGCUCCGAUGUUGAAGCAGCAGGCCCAACACUCCGGAGCUUCAAUGGUGAUCCAGAGAAACACAUGUGUGCCGUGGAGCAUGUUUGGAAUGUCACUUUACUCCGGAUGCUGGAACAAACAGAAUGUAUUCUGGAACUUGCAAAGGCUGUAUGGAAAGAGAUGCUGGAAGAACUCAGCCGGUCAAGAGGAAAGAGAAAAAAAGUCGGCGUUUCAGUUCUGCAUCUCUCCCUCAGAAGGAGCCUCAGCAAACGGACUUAAUUGGAACCACAGCACGCUCACAAUGUCAGCCCAGAUCAUGCUUAAAGGGCUGUAUUCAAACCCACCAGCGUCUGACUCAGUGCUCCUCAACAAGGCACAGCAGACACUCAAGAUGCUGUCUGACCUGCCGACUGUUUCCAGCAUAUUCAGUUCGAUACAAAUACUAAUUGUUUGAGAUCCGAAGUGAACCAUUCUUCAGAUACCGCUUCUGGAGACCAUAUCCAGCUAUUUGUCACCCAUGGCGGUAAGGUCGAGGGGGAGGUCUCUGACAAAGAGUAAUCCAACCAAGACCUCAACGCUGGACUAGGCGGAGGAUGAUGGCACAGUUUACUGGAGCGUCAAAACAGCUGGGAAAGCGGAUGAAGGCUGCAGCAGAAAAGGGUCUCCAUUCGUUUUGGACUCCAUGCUACUGGAUCCUGACCAGAUCUGUCAAGGACCGUGUGGUGGCUGUUUGUGCACCAGUCUCCUCACGUUAAACAAAGUCACGCACAGGUGUCCUCCAUAUAGGGAAUCCACCCUAACACCCUGGAUGGUUCUAUGGUGAUCAGCAAGUCUUCUUCAUUUGCUUUGAGUUUUAAUUUUGUUGACUUUCCAUGAGGUAAAGCCUCCUAUGUCUUUCAGGCACACAUUUUCAGAGACAUGAGCUGCUUUAAAGAUGCAUCCCUCAGGAUUCCAGAGGCAGAAUCUCUCAUCCUGUCCUCAGAAUAACUGUUGAAACAGCUGGGAAAGGAUCAUGGGGAAUCAAAAUUCCCUGAAGUUUCCAUUGACACGCACAGCACACACAGACAGAACAUGUUAAACUUUGAACCUUCACACAAGCCACUGGCACUAUUAAAGCCGACAGUUGAUGCAGAAUUCAGAUUAAUAUCUAAAACUCAAACAUGUCAUCACAUUAGAAAUCUGUUCUUGAGACGCACCAAAGAUAGCAACCUUACAGACUACAAACAAACGCUGAGAGUAACAUAACACACUGAUGAAGAUUAAGUUACUUGACUAACAGCCAGUGUUCUGGACUUUGCAUUGGAGGCUAAGGGGAGACUUGAGAGAAGUUUAUAAAAUUGUGAGACGUACAGGGUAAACAUUCCGAGCCUUUUUCCCAAUGAGUGGAAAUGUCAAACACUAAAUGUCAUAGGUUUAAGGUAAGGUUGGGAAGUUAAAAGGUGAAGUAUGAGACAACCGUGCCUAGAACACCAGGGGUCUUGAUACAAUAGUGAUGUUUAAGAAGCAUUGGGAGGAUAUGGAUCAUGAGCAGGCAGAUGGAAUUAGUUUAAUUUGGCUUCAUGGUUGGCACGAAUACGGUAGGCCAAAGGGCCUGUUUCUGCACUGUACUGUUCUAAAAGCUAUAUAAUAUGCUCUAUUGAUUCAGAGAUGUGAGUUCAAAUUCCACCAGAGCAGCUGGAGAAAUUAAUGUCAAGUUAUUUAAAAUUAAAAAUAAUUAACUUCCAAAAUAUCCAAUAUCCUUGCAGGUCUGUUUGCUAGUGCCACAUGGGUGGGUUUAAACUAGAUUGGUGGGGGUGACGGGUGGAGGUCAAGAUCCAAUGCAGCAAAUGAGAAGCUGAAAGUCGGUAUGGAAGGUUUAGUUUAGUUUAGCUUAGUCUAGAGAUACAGCGUGGAAACAGGCCCUUCAGCCCACCGGGUCCGCGCAGACCAGCAAUCCCCGCACAUUAACGCUAUCCUACACCCACGAGGGACAAUUUUUACAUUUACGAAGUCAAUUAACCUACAAACCUGUACGUCUUUGGAGUGUGGGAGGAAACUGAAGAUCUUGGAGAAAACCCACGCAGAUCACGGAGAGAACGUUCAAACUCCAUACAGCACCCGCAGUCAGGAUCGAAACCGGGUCUCCAGCGCUGCAUUCGCUGUAAGGCAGCAGCUCUACCGUUGCACCACCGUGACCGUCCAAGGUGAUUGAAGAAAGUUCAGUGGACAGAAUAGGCAGGAGCACGGCAGAAAAUGAGGAAGGACUGUAAGAUUGAAUUGCAUUUAUUUUAAUGUGCGAGGCCCAAUGGGUAAGCCGGAGUAGGUAGAUGUGGCUGGGAUGUUGUAGCCAUUACAGAAGCCUGAGAGAGGGGCAGGACUGGCAGCUUAAUGUUCCAGGGUACAAGUGUUUCAGGAGAGAUAGUGGUGAAGGUAAAAGAGGAGAGGCUGUUGCUUUAUUAACUAAGGUGAUUGGCAUAGCAGUUGUCUGAGAUGACAUCACUGAUGGUUCGUCCAGUGAUGGAAUAUGGUUAGAGCUGUGAAAUAAAAAGGGGAUGAUCACCUUGUUGGGAGUGUAGUAUAGGCCUCCAAAUAGUCAAUGGUAAUUAAAAGAACAAGUGUUCCAGGUUGUCAUAGUAGAGACUUUAAUAUAGAUCAAAACUGCCAUAGUGUCAAGGGCUUAGAUGAGGUGGAAUUUGAUUCAAUUGUUUUGAUUCAAUUUUAUUGUCAUUGUCUUCAAGUAAGAGCCAAUGAAAUGCUAUUUCCCAUACAGUCAUACGAAUAAAAAAAAAUAAAACACAGAACACGAUAGUCCCCAACACAAGCAUCCCCACAGCGGCACCAAAGUUCCCCACUGUGAGGGAAGGAACCAAAGUCCAGUCAACCUCCUUGCUGAUGUUCCCUGAUGUUCACCCAUCGUCAUGGCCUCCUGAGCCCCCCGCAGUCGUCGCUACGGGCGGCCUGAUGUUCAGGCCCUCUUGCCGGGAACGAUGGAACCCCGAUGUUGGGAGGAAGAACAUCCUCAGCGGCCUGGACCUCUGAAUCGGCCACCUCCCACCGGAGUCCACGGCUCCUGAAGUCCACAGGCCGAGCUGGGUGGAGAUUCAAUGCUGGCAGACCCUGGCAAAGGGUCCCAGGUCAGUGCCACCAACGUUGGGAGCUCCGCGAACUACAGCUCCGCGAUGUUGAUGCAGCAGGCCCAACACUCUGGAGCCUCAAACGGCGAUCCCAGGUGACGCAUCGCCAGCUCCGCGAUGUAUCCAGCGCUGCACCACCGCUGCUGAUGCUCUGGUCUGGUCCCAGCAGGAAAGGCUGCGCCAAUCAAGUUGGUAGGCCACGAGGAGGGGGGAGAGGCUCGACUCGGAUAAUAGGCGCAUCCUCACCAGGAAGUGACUGAAGGACGGUUUCCCACUUACCCUACCGCCCUCCCACCACAUAAAAUACAACAAAAAAACAUACUUUAAACAUACUAAAAAUGUUUAAAAAGAUAAGAAGACAAACAGACUGCAGGCGGAGGCAUCCAUCAACAGCGCCACGGGAUGUGGUGAAUUUGUCAAAAGUGUUCAGAAAAUUUCCUCAGGCAGUAUGUCGAGGCCCCUACAAGUAAAAGGGCAAAGCAGGAGAUAGCUCUGGCAUAAUGAAAAUCCAAAGUAAUGUUAUAUGUACAUUAAGGGAAAGAGGGCCCCUUUGAAAUCAAAGCAUUCAUCUCCAUCUCCAUGUGGAGUGACAGGAGAUUUACAAGAUCAAGACAAUGAUCAUAUCUUCUCUAUUUUAACGUGGAGAAAAUGAUGAAGACAGGAACGAGACAUUUAAUGGCAAUGUCUCAAAGACAAUCCCUACAAUAAACCCUUGCAAUAACGGACGUCUACAUAAUGACUUUUGGUUGUAGCUGAACAAGGCUCCCAUUGUACCGCCUCCCACUUGUGCCAGUUACCCACUGAGCUUGGUUCACGUUACGUGCUUCUGUUUGCGGGAGUGAAGAGAACGAGCAGCAUGAAAGUGGUGUGAGUACCAGCCCUGUCCCUGGUCCAGUAUCUCUGCUGCUCCCCAGACUGUGAAUUCCCACUUGUUUAACCCUCCCGACACUACGUUUCUUCCCUCCUGGCCUUGGGUUAAACCUUAUUCCCCCCCCCAUCAC